rnacentral:lncRNA from 1 species
UCUUUUUUUCUUUUAACAUACCUUUAAAGCCUCUAUCACAAGGUCCCUUGCUUCAAGCUCUCCUUCAAGAAUACUGAAUAGUGUUAGGAGUUCAGGCUUGCUGAGUUUUUCCAGAUUCAUCCUGAAAGCCUAAAACAAAGACAAUGAUCAGACUAUCUCCAGAAGACAGAGUUGGUUUGAUACGGCUAAGGAAAAAAAAUAAAGUGAGUCACACAAGGAAAGAGCCACAAUCACAGCAUAAAAUGCCUUAAGGCAGCAAAUGGUUAGAAUUAAGUUUAAAAAAAAAUGGGAGCUUUCUGAUGUUAAUCAUAAACCGAGCAGUAAGAGAAAAUAAAAUUCACCUUAAGUAUGAAUUUCGUCAUCACUCACAAGGAUCAAUUUUCCAUCAUUUUUCCUCCAGGCAUAUUUAUAAACAUCCUGGGAGGUCUCAGAAAGAAUUAGCCACUAGUUUUGUUCACCAGAAGUGCAGGUAAAAUUGUGUUACAGUGAAUACUAUUUCACCGAAAAAUUGUUAGAGCAUGAAAAGAUUUCUCAGUUUUAGAUAACCGAAUUCCUAAACUGUAUAUAAAACAUUCUGGCAUCCCUCUGAAGUUGGUUGAAAUGAAAUUUAAGCAAAGAGAAUGUCCGGUGGCAGUAUGGGAGAAAUUUUUCUUUUAAACUGUCUGUCUACUUUCACAGGGAACCUCAAUGCAACCAUAUACAAAUACACUUUUACGCAGUUUCUUAAAAUAUAUUGUCGUUUAAACAUCUUCAUUGGACAGGCUACUACUAACUGAAUUUAUCUGACUCCCCAAGUUCCCGUUUCUGUGAAGUCCUGUAUCUUUUGAGACAUGUUAAAUGGCAAACCGCAUAGCACAAACUCAAUCCUUUCCACAAGAUUAAUUUCUCAAAAGCCACACAUAGACAGAAGUUAGAUUGCCAGACAAU